rnacentral:rRNA from 1 species
UACGUAGGCAGCAAGCGUUGUUCGGAAUUACUGGGCGUAAAGAGUGUGUAGGCGGUGUUCUAAGUUUGUCGUGAAAUCUCCCGGCUUAACUGGGAGGGUGCGGCGAAAACUGGAAUGCUAGAGGAUGGGAGAGGUAAGCGGAAUUCCUGGUGUAGCGGUGAAAUGCGUAGAUAUCAGGAGGAACACCUGUGGUGUAGACAGCUUACUGGACCAUUUCUGACGCUGAGACACGAAAGCGUGGUAGCAAACAGG